rnacentral:ncRNA from 1 species
AAAUAAAUUUUUAUAGUUUGAAAAUUUUAAUUUAAGUUUAUUUUACAUAUAAAUUAUAGUGUUAAUUUUUAAUUAUUUUAAUAAUUAUUAAAUUAUUAUGUAGUAAUUAAUAUUAAAUAUUUAAGAAAUUAAGAUUUAGUAUUAUUUAAAUUUAUUAACAAAUUUUGUGCCAGCAGUUGCGGUUAUACAAAAAAUAAUUUAAAUUUUAUUAGUUUAUAAUAAAUAUGAUAAUUAUUUAAAAAUAAAAAUAAUUAAUUAAUAAGUGAAAUUUUAAUUAAUUAAAAAAUUUUUUAUAUGAAUUAAGAAAUUUUAUAAAAAACUAGGAUUAGAUACCCUAUUAUUAAAAAUUAAAUAUAAAUACUAAAAUAGUAUAUAAUUUUUUAUGGAAACUUAAAUAAUUUGGCGGUAUUUUAGUUCAUUUAGAGGAAUCUGUCUAAUAAUUGAUAAUCCACGAUUAAAUUUACUUAAUUAUUAUAUUUUGUAUAUCGUUGUAAAAAAAAUAUUUUUUAAUAAAAAUAAUAUUUAAAAAUUUAUUUUAAAAUUAAUUCAGAUCAAGAUGCAGAUUAUAUUUAAGUAUAAGAUGGAUUACAAUAAUAAAAAUUAAAUGAAUAAUAUUUUGUAAAAAAUAUUUGAAGGUGGAUUUAAAUGUAAUUUUAUUUAAUAAAAUAAAAUGAUUAAAAAUUAAAAUAUGUACAUAUUGCCCGUCACUUUCAUUAAUAAAUUGGAAUAAGUCGUAACAAAGUAGAGGUACUGGAAAGUGUUUCUAGAAUGAU